GGGAAGUCCGGGAUGAACAAUUUUAUGGUUAAGGGGUUGUGGGUAAGAUCACUGCCUUCACCCCUCCUCAGGCUUGUCAGACCGGCUUGUUGGAAAGGAUGAGCCUGUCAGUUGCAGGCAGCAAUUUUCAGGCUAUAUGGACUGUAGAAGGGAUUUGAGUUAAUCCAUUAUUUCCCAAACUUGACCUCCCUCUGACCAACUUCUAUCUGGCUAACCGUCUAAUUUCCCUGGGGGGUUUCCUUUUAUAACAAAACAACUUUGUUUUGAUUUAGCCUAGGACUAGGCUUAGGUUUUAGGGAGGAAACGCCUUUAAACAAUUUGCAUUUGAAAUGAGGAAGUGAAAAAAAAAAAAAAAUGACGAGGCAAAGCCAGCUGUUUCCUACAAACCCUUGAUAACGGUGCAGCGGUUCAUUGUCCUUCUGCCCCAGUGGAAACUGGCUUCCGCCCUUGCCUUGUCUGCUGCUUUUCCAGCCUCCCUCACCUGUCCAGACAGCUGUAACCUCCCCACUUGUCAUCACCCCCGCAAGCACUUACAAGUGAAGAAGCAGCACGACCUUUUUGUCUUGGAUAAUUUCUAGUGGAGAGGCUCCAAGAAUUUAGCAGCAGCCUCCUGGGCCUCCGGCACCCUUACCACAUUCUACAUCCUCAGGGGACAGAGGGCCUUUGGGAACAGACCCCUAAAAGAGUAGUGCCCUUUCUGAGGACUCCAACCUGAGAGACAGCACCUUAGAUAGCUCUGAGGACCUGUUCCAAAGAGGUGGGCCAGCCAUGAGAGGGUACCUUGUGGCCAUCUUCCUGAGUGCUGUCUUCCUCUAUUAUGUGCUGCAUUGUAUAUUGUGGGGAACAAAUGCCUAUGGGGUGCCACCUGUGGAAAUGAAGAAGAGAAAUAAGAUCCAGCCUUGUUCAUCAAAGCCAGCUUUUGCCUCUCUCCUGAGGUUUCAUCAGUUUCACCCUUUUCUGUGUGCAGCUGAUUUUAAAAAUACUGCUUCCUUCUAUGGUAGCGAUAAGUUUGAUUUGCCCUAUGGGAUAAGAACAUCAGCCGAAUACUUUCGACUUGCUCUUUCAAAACUGCAGAGCUGUGAUUUCUUUGAUGAGUUUGACAAUGUGCCAUGUAAAAAAUGUGUGGUGGUUGGUAAUGGCGGAGUUUUGAAGAAUAAGACGUUAGGAGAAAAAAUUGACUCCUAUGAUGUAAUAAUAAGAAUGAAUAAUGGUCCUAUUUUAGGACAUGAAGAGGAAGUUGGGAGAAGGACUACCUUCCGACUUUUUUAUCCAGAAUCUGUUUUUUCAGAUCCCAAUCACAAUGAUCCUAAUACUACGGUGAUUCUCACUGCUUUUAAGCCGCUUGAUUUAAAGUGGCUGUGGGAAUUGUUGACAGGUGGCAAAAUAAACACUAAUGGUUUUUGGAAGAAACCAGCAUUAAAUCUGAUCUAUAAACCGUAUCAAAUCAGAAUAUUAGAUCCUUUCAUUAUCAGAACAGCAGCUUAUGAACUGCUUCAUUUCCCAAAAGUGUUUCCCAAAAAUCAGAAACCCAAACACCCAACAACAGGAAUUAUUGCCAUUACGUUGGCAUUUCACAUAUGUCAUGAAGUUCACCUUGCUGGUUUUAAGUACAACUUUUCUGACCUCAAGAGUCCUUUGCACUACUUUGGGAAUGCCACCAUGUCUUUGAUGAAUAAGAAUGCGUAUCACAAUGUGACUGCAGAGCAGCUCUUUUUGAAGGACAUUAUAGAAAAAAACUUUGUAAUCGACUUGACUCAAGAUUGACCCUACAGACUCCGAAGAUGAUGCGAACAGUAUUAGUUUUAUUUUUACACUGCAAUUUUUAGUUUAUUUUUAAAUAUGUUGGAUGUACGUGUCAAGAAAUUAUAUAAAGUCUAUUGCUGCCUGGUGCUUCAUAACCACCAGCUUAAUUUCUGUGAAUAUAUUUAAUUUAUGGAAACCAAGACAUGCUAAGCUAUCAGGGAGAGUGAAUUUUUCAUUGCAUUGUUUUAAAAAUAAGCUAGUUUUCUGAGGUGUUUUUAAGCAUCUUUUUAUAGUUACUUUAUCUUAGACUUCUGAAGGGAUGUGACUUCCUAAUAAGUAAGGGGAUUUAGUUUACCACAGCAGAUUUUGAAUGUAACGUGACAUUCUGAGAGGUUUAUCUGCCUCCUGUAAAUUGGUGGGGAGCUGGCAUGCAGCGGUGCCUUUAAUGUGGCAUACUGGAACCACCUCAGGCCUCUGUAGCUCUCUCUGGAUGAUUGUUUGGUUCCUUUUUGUUCUACCUGAGGAACCUGGCUGGAAUCUUAAACCAGACCCUAAGCAUGGAUGAUUAGGGAAACCUAAGAUCAUACUGGCUUAAUUAAGCAUUUUUUUCCUACAGUUAAGUUAAACCAUGAUUAUGAUGAGUAGUUUGGUAGAAUGAAGAUGUUCUUUAAGUCGAAAGAAAUAGGAUAAAUAUGAAACUCUGGAUAAGUAAAUAACCAAAGAAAGAAUGCAAUUCCUAAAAUCUGGUGACUGCAUUAUUUUAAAGAAAUAAAGUUUAUACAAAGAAGCUGAACUAGGCAAGCUCAAGAAGGAGAAAAUUCUUAAAACAUUUUUUGCCUGGUUUAAUUUAUUCAUUAAAAUUUCAAAGUUUAUUGGAAGUAAAUUAGGAAAGACAUGAAUGAGUAAACCUUUAAGAAGAGUCAAGCUUUUUCUGGAUUUAAGUGUCAUUUUCAUGAAAAACCAAUUGUCCACAUGAUUAAAUCGCAUCUUCAAAUGGAAAGCUUACCUAGGGUGCACCAGAGAAGACUGUUGUGGGAUGCAAACAAGCCAGUUGGACAAAAGUCUGCCAAAAAAGAAGAGGAGGAGAUGAGAAGAAACUAGUCACAAGUUGGAUUAAAUGAGAACUGGUGCCACAAUUGACCUAAAAGUAUCCAACUCUUCCUUAGAUUUUGCAGUUUAGGGACUUCAAGUUCAGAACUGAAAGGCAGAGCCAGUAGGUAACAAUGUGGAGCCCAGGGAAAGAAGUUCAAGCUUUAUCACAUUCCAUAGAAUUACAGCCACAUUCAUAUUUAAACGAGCUCAUUUUCUGCUCCCUCCAGUGCGAGGGUGGGGGGGGGGGUGUGGGGGGGGAGGGCAAGUGUAUAAGUAACAUCCUAAUUUCAGUUACCGAAUAAAUCCUCUGCUCGAACCAUUUCAACAGCGAAUAAACCCAUUGUUCAAUACAAAGUGCAAACAGUGAAACGUGAACUUAAAUAACUGGGCUAGACCCUGCAUACGCAAUAGGAUCUAUUUAGAUUUACAGCUUUCAAUAAAAUAUAAAUCAGCAUUCACAAUAUCUUCCCUUUAACUGUGCCGGUUCCCAAGAUCAAGUAACAGCUAAGCCAGUGUAAUUUUAUGAAACCUUAAGGGCCACAUUUCCUGCACCACUGUCUGAUUCUACUUUUGUAACUGCAUUAACAGGAAAGAAUUUAAUCCAAUAAGCCACAGUGAGUUAAAUCUUUUACAUGUUUCAAGCAAAGAAUAAAAAUUCCAAGGGAAUUUUGUAAAAAAUGGUUACUUUCACAUUUUCAGUUGUUACUUGAUUGUCUCCAAAGCUGUAUAUAUAGCAGACAUAGUAACAUUAGAAAAAAAAAA